CAUCCGGAACUGUCAAGCUAGAGUGCAGGAGAGGAAGGUAGAAUUCCCGGUGUAGCGGUGAAAUGCGUAGAGAUCGGGAGGAAUACCAGUGGCGAAGGCGGCUUCUGGACUGACACUGACACUGAGGUGCGAAAGCGUGGGUAGCAAACAGGAUUAGAUACCCUGGUAGUCCACGCCGUAAACGAUGUCGACCAGCCGUUGGGUGCCUAGCGCACUUUGUGGCGAAGUUAACGCGAUAAGUCGACCGCCUGGGGAGUACGGCCGCAAGGUUAAAACUCAAAUGAAUUGACGGGGGCCCGCACAAGCGGUGGAGCAUGUGGUUUAAUUCGAUGCAACGCGAAGAACCUUACCUACUCUUGACAUCCUGCGAAUUUGGUAGAGAUACCUUAGUGCCUUCGGGAACGCAGAGACAGGUGCUGCAUGGCUGUCGUCAGCUCGUGUUGUGAAAUGUUGGGUUAAGUCCCGUAACGAGCGCAACCCUUGUCCUUAUUUGCCAGCGCGUAAUGGCGGGAACUCUAAGGAGACUGCCGGUGACAAACCGGAGGAAGGUGGGGACGACGUCAAGUCAUCAUGGCCCUUACGAGUAGGGCUACACACGUGCUACAAUGGUCGGUACAAAGGGUUGCCAACUCGCGAGAGUGAGCCAAUCCCGAAAAGCCGAUCUCAGUCCGGAUCGGAGUCUGCAACUCGACUCCGUGAAGUCGGAAUCGCUAGUAAUCGUGGAUCAGAAUGCCACGGUGAAUACGUUCCCGGGCCUUGUACACACCGCCCGUCACACCAUGGGAGUGGACUGCACCAGAAGUGGUUAGCCUAACGCAAGAGGGCGAUCACCACGGUGUGGUUCAUGACUGGGGUGAAGUCAUAACAAGGUAGCCGUA
rnacentral:rRNA from 1 species